rnacentral:rRNA from 1 species
GACAGAGGAUGCAAGCGUUAUCCGGAAUGAUUGGGCGUAAAGGGCGCGUAGGCGGCGCGGAUAGUCGGCGGUGAAAGCCCGGAGCUCAACUCCGGGUCGGCCGUCGAUACUUCCGGGCUUGAGCACUGUAGAGGCAGAUGGAAUUCCGGGUGUAGCGGUGGAAUGCGUAGAGAUCCGGAAGAACACCGGUGGCGAAGGCGGUCUGCUGGGCAGUUGCUGACGCUGAUGCGCGACAGCGUGGGGAGCAAACAGG